rnacentral:rRNA from 1 species
GAUGAACGCUGGCGGCGUGCCUAAUACAUGCAAGUCGAGCGAACGGACGAGAAGCUUGCUUCUCUGAUGUUAGCGGCGGACGGGUGAGUAACACGUGGAUAACCUACCUAUAAGACUGGGAUAACUUCGGAAAACCGGAGCUAAUACCGGAUAAUAUUUUGAACCGCAUGGUUCAAAAGUGAAAUACGGUCUUGCUGUCACUUAUAGCUGGAUCCGGGCUGCAUUGGAUAGUUGGUAAGGUAACGGCUUACCAAGGGUACGAUGCAUAGCCGACCUGAGAGAGUGGUCGGCCACACUGGAGCUGGGACGCGGUCCAGGCUCCUGCGGGAGGGAGCAGUAUGGAAUCGUCCGCAGUAGGGGAGAGCCUGACGGAGCAGCGCCACGUCAGUGAUGGAGGUCUUCGGAUCGUAAUGCUCUGUUAUUAGGGAAGAACAUAUGUGUAAGUAGCUGUGCACAGCUUGACGGUACCUAGUCAGAAAGCCACGGCUAACUACGUG